rnacentral:rRNA from 1 species
UACGGGGGGGGGGCAAGCGUUGUUCGGAAUUACUGGGCGUAAAGCGUGCGCAGGCGGCGCGUUAAGACAGGUGUGAAAGCCCCGAGCUUAACUUGGGAAUUGCGCUUGUGACUGGCGUGCUGGAGUGUGGCAGAGGGAGGUGGAAUUCCACGUGUAGCAGUGAAAUGCGUAGAGAUGUGGAGGAACACCGAUGGCGAAGGCAGCCUCCUGGGCCAGCACUGACGCUCAUGCACGAAAGCGUGGGGAGAAACAGG